rnacentral:rRNA from 1 species
AGAGACAGCAGUAGCCACGGGAAUACAGAGGGUGCAAGCGUUAAUCGGAAUUACUGGGCGUAAAGCGCGCGUAGGUGGUUUGUUAAGUUGGAUGUGAAAUCCCCGGGCUCAACCUGGGAACUGCAUCCAAAACUGGCAAGCUAGAGUAUGGUAGAGGGUGGUGGAAUUUCCUGUGUAGCGGUGAAAUGCGUAGAUAUAGGAAGGAACACCAGUGGCGAAGGCGACCACCUGGACUGAUACUGACACUGAGGUGCGAAAGCGUGGGGAGCAAACAGGAUUAGAUACCCGCGUAGUCCCUGUCUCUUAUAC